rnacentral:rRNA from 1 species
CCCUUAGAUGCUCUGGGCCGCACGCGCGCUACACUGGUCGAUGCAACGAGUUUCUUUCCUUGGCCGACAGGCCUGGGCAAUCUUUGAACAUCGAUCGUGAUCGGGAUAGAUUCUUGUAAUUUUUGAUCUUAAACGAGGAAUUCCUAGUAAACGCAAGUCAUCAGCUUGCAUUGAUUACGUCCCUGCCCUUUGUACACACCGCCCGUCGCACCUACCGAUUGAAGAGUUAGGUGAAUUGUUUUGAUCGAUAAGAUUUGACUAUGGUCAACUCUCGUUGUGAAAUUCUGUGAAUCUGACUGUUUAGAGGAAGGAAAAGUCGUAACA